GGUUAAGCGACUAAGCGUACACGGUGGAUGCCUAGGCAAUCAGAGGCGAUGAAGGACGUGCUAAUCUGCGAAAAGCGUCGGUAAGGUGAUAUGAACCGUUAUAACCGACGAUGUCCGAAUGGGGAAACCCAGUGCAAUUCGUUGCACUAUCGUUUGAUGAAUCCAUAGUCAAACGAGGCGAACCGGGGGAACUGAAACAUCUCAGUACCCCGAGGAAAAGAAAUCAACCGAGAUUCCCCUAGUAGCGGCGAGCGAACGGGGAGCAGCCCAGAGUCUUAAUCAGCAUCAGCAUCAGGAGAACGGUCUGGAAAGGCCGGCAAUAAAGGGUGAUAGCCCCGUAUCCGAAGGUGUUGGUGUUGUGAACUCGAUGAGUAGGGCGGGACACGUGUUAUCCUGUCUGAAUAUGGGGGGACCAUCCUCCAAGGCUAAAUACUCCUGAUUGACCGAUAGUGAACCAGUACCGUGAGGGAAAGGCGAAAAGAACCCCGGCGAGGGG
rnacentral:rRNA from 1 species